AUAUUGGUCAAUGGGCGGAAGCCUGAACCAGCCAUGCCGCGUGCAGGAAGACUGCCCUAUGGGUUGUAAACUGCUUUUACACGGGAAUAACCUCCGCUACGUGUAGCGGACUGAACGUACCGUGGGAAUAAGGAUCGGCUAACUCCGUGCCAGCAGCCGCGGUAAUACGGAGGAUCCGAGCGUUAUCCGGAAUCAUUGGGUUUAAAGGGUCCGUAGGCGGGCCGUUAAGUCAGGGGUGAAAGUCUGCGGCUCAACCGUAGGACUGCCCUUGAUACUGGUGGCCUUGAGUUGUGGUGAAGCAGCCAGAAUAUGUGGUGUAGCGGUGAAAUGCAUAGAUAUCACAUGGAAUACCGAUUGCGAAGGCAGGCUGCUAACCAUAUACUGACGCUGAUGGACGAAAGCGUGGGUAGCGAA
rnacentral:rRNA from 1 species